rnacentral:rRNA from 1 species
UACGGAGGGGGCUAGCGUUGUUCGGAAUUACUGGGCGUAAAGCGCGCGUAGGCGGACCUGCAAGUCGGGGGUGAAAGCCCGAGGCUCAACCUCGGAACUGCCUUCGAUACUGCGGGUCUCGAGUCCGGGAGAGGUGAGUGGAAUUCCUAGUGUAGAGGUGAAAUUCGUAGAUAUUAGGAAGAACACCAGUGGCGAAGGCGGCUCACUGGCUCGGUACUGACGCUGAGGUGCGAAAGCGUGGGGAGCAAACAGG